GAUACCCAAAAGGGUAACCUUAGUUAAUGAUGGGCUAACUAAGGUUACAUAUAUGUAACCAUGGUUACAAGCUUGUGACUCUUGAGUUAUGUAACGCUUGUGACUCUUGUGUUAUAAUGUGGGGGUUAUGGUUCCCACAUUAGUGCAAGACAAAACUCUUCUUCCUCCCAUUGAAUCAAGAGCCAAAAUACUCCAUUGUUGUCUUGCAAAUAGUGUGNN
rnacentral:lncRNA from 1 species